UACAGUGGCGACCGGGUGAGUAACACGUGACUACCUACCCUUGAGUGGGGGAUAACCUCGGGAAACCGAGGCUAAUACCGCAUAAUAUCGGCGUCUAAUUAAUGUCGAUCAAAGGAGUAAUCCGCUUUUGGAGGGGGUCGCGGCUGAUUAGCUAGUUGGUAGGGUAAUGGCCUACCAAGGCGAAGAUCGGUAUCCGGCCUGAGAGGGCGCACGGACACACUGGAACUGAAACACGGUCCAG
rnacentral:rRNA from 1 species